GACGAAUGCUGGCGGCGUGCUUAACACAUGCAAGUCGAACGGUGAAAGCGGAGCUUGCUCCGCUGGAUCAGUGGCGAACGGGUGAGUAACACGUGGGCAACCUGCCCCUCACUUCGGGAUAACUCCGGGAAAACGGGGCCAAUACCGGAUAUGACCUUCUUGGUCAUCCCUGGAGGGGGAAAGUUUUUCGGUGAGGGAUGGGCCCGCGGCCGAUCAGCUUGUUGGUGAGGUAACGGCUCACCAAGGCGACGACGGGUAGCCGGCCUGAGAGGGUGACCGGCCACACUGGGACUGAGACACGGCCCAGACUCCUACGGGAGGCAGCAGUGGGGAAUAUUGCACAAUGGGCGCAAGCCUGAUGCAGCGACGCCGCGUGAGGGAUGACGGCCUUCGGGUUGUAAACCUCUUUCAGCAUCGACGAAGCGAAAGUGACGGUAGGUGCAGAAGAAGGACCGGCCAACUACGUGCCAGCAGCCGCUGUAA
rnacentral:rRNA from 1 species